rnacentral:rRNA from 1 species
AUUGAACGCUAGCGGGAUGCUUUACACAUGCUAGUCGAACGAGUGGCGGACGGGUGAGUAAUAUAUCAAAAAGUGCCCGGUAGCGGGGGAUAACUACUCGAAAGAGUAGCUAAUACCGCCUACUAUUGGAGCUGCCCAUAUCGGAUUAGCUAGUUGGUGGGGUAAAGGCUCAGCAAGGCAACUAUCCGUAGCUGGUUUGAGAGGAAGACCAGCAAGACUGGGACUGAGAGCAGGGCCAGACCCCUACGGGAGGCAGCAGUGGGAAAUUUUGGACAAGGGGGGAAACCCUGAGGCAGACAUCCCGAGUGUAUGAGAAGGCCUUCGGGUUGUAAAGUACUUUUGGCAGAGAUGCGGUAACUGCAGAAUAAGCACCGGCUAACUCCGGGCGAGCAGCCGCGGUAAUUG